UGUGGGCUUAGUAGACUGUCCAGGAAAAAAAUACAACUGCAAAACCAGUAGCAUUCUCAAGUUUUUCUUUUUUCUUUCUUUUUUUUUUUUAAUAAGGCUAUGUUCCUUUUUUAUUUAUUUAAUUAAUUUAUUUAUUUUCAGUACUGGGGAUCGAACUCUGGUCCCUGCGCUUGCGAGGCAGAUGGCGGAACCACAGAGCCAAAUCCCCGGCCCCUGAAGUUUUUCUUUGUAUACAGUACUAGCCACAAAGUUUUUGAUGCUCUGCCAAAACUAUCUGAUCUGGCCAUUCUAGUUGUUUUAGAUAAGACUGCUGAUCUACUGCCAGCUAUACCACCCUACCUGGAAGCAGAUGAAUUUUACAUUGAUUCUUGUAUCCAACCCAGAUGUCUCAGAAGCACUCAAAUUCAACACAUCCCGAAGG
rnacentral:lncRNA from 1 species